CUCCGGGCGGCCGUGACCCUGCUGGAGUGCAGGGGGGGACCUGCAGCCCCCGGGGGGUCCCUGACUCUGCUCUGCCGCGCCUCCGGGUUUGAUUUUGGGAGUUACGCCAUGCACUGGAUCCGCCAGAGCCCCGGGAAGGCGCUGGAAUUCGUCGCAGGGAUUGACAACAGUGGCAGCAGCACCUACUACGCGCCGUCGGUGCAGGGCCGGUUCACGAUCUCCAGGGACAACGGGCAGAGCUCGGUGACGCUGACCAUGAACAGCCUCAAGGACGAGGAUUCCGCCGUUUAUUUCUGUGCCAAAGAUGCUUAUAGUGGUGGUGGUACUGCUGGUGCUGCUGAUGCUUAUGCUGUUUGUUGCCCCAAUGGCCACCACUGA